GAUGAACGCUAGCGGCAGGCCUAACACAUGCAAGUCGAGGGAGGAGCCUUGGGGCUUCGACCGCCGUACGUGUCCGUAACGGGUAUACUAACUGCUUUACACACAGCGAUAGCCCGAAGAAAUUUGGAUUAAUACCUAAUGGUAUACAGAGUUAGCAUCACCUCUAUAUUAAUGCUGAGGCGGUGAAAGAUGUGGAUGCGUUCUAUUAGCUAGUUGGAGAGGUAACGGCUCCCCAAGGCGACGAUAGAUAGGGGUUCUGCGAGGGAUAUCCCCCACACUGGUACCGCGAUCCGGACCAGAAUCCUACGGGAGGCAGCAGUGAGGUAUAUAGGACAAGGGUCGGAAGCCUAAUCCAGCCAUGCCGGGUGCAGGAAGACGGCCUUCUGGAUUGUAAACUGCUUUUGCAGAAGAAGAGUAAGGACUACGCGUAGUUUGAUGACGGUACUCUGCGAAUAAGCAUCGGCUAACUACGUG
rnacentral:rRNA from 1 species